GGAAUCAAACUCAAAGUAAGGUCAGUACUUCCACGCUUUAAACGCUGCAUGCUCAUACUCUCUCCCGCACUCGAUAUGUCAUCCAUUGUUGAUCUGCACGCAGCUGUUGCCAUGAAUGUCGCACUUGCUUACGUCACUGUCGUGAGACAUUCUCGCAAAAAAAUCACGGUUUUAGUAACGCAGUAACGCAGCGUUCCUACGGGAAAGUAACGGUAAUCUAAUUACCGUUUUUGCAAUAGCAAUCCCUUACUUUACUCGUUACUUGAAAAAAGUAAUCGGAUUACAGUAACACGUUACAAGUAACGCGUUACUGCCCAUCUCUGGUUAUCAUAGUUAUCACAGAUUGGUCAUAGUUCAGUUUUUCCAGUUUGGGUUUUACUUUAGUUUUUGCCCUGCUCGCCUCUGAUUUGUUUUGUUCUUCGUGUUUAAUCAGUCUGGCUCAUUUUUUUUUUAAAGACACAGUUCUGUCUCCUUCCCUGUCUGCACUUGGGUCCACUUCAUCAUCACACCGCUGUGCCCUGCCGUGACACUCAGUGUCUCAGAUUUGGCAAAAGAUUGCUGUAUUUUUGUUUGUUUGUUUGUUUGUUUGUUUGUGGGGUUUUUUUGUUUUUUUAAAAGGCUCUAACAAAACUGCAAUUUGCAUCCCACCCCGAAUGCAACAAUGUGGAUGCUUUUCUGAUUUAACAAAGAUCGCUUCAGGUUCUGCGUAACUGAGAUGACAUUGUGAAAAUUUUAGUCCAAUAAGAACUCAACCACAGCCAAGUAUAAGAGUAAAAUACUGCUUAAACAUUGGUGCAACAGCGAUAUCGAUCUGUGUAAAAUAUCAGUAUAUUAAUCAGAGGGGCCAAUUUUAGCUUGUGGGUAAAGUUUUAAAGCAGGAAGUACUUUUUUAUUUAUUUAUAUUAUUUUACUUAUGUUUUCAUACAGGGCUUAUAAUGUAUUUUUAAAUGGGGGCAUAAGUUCUUUCACCUAAGUAUAACUUAAAUACUUCCUGUCAUAAUUUUCAAGUACUACAUAAUAGCAGUUAUAAUUUCACUGGAGAUUAUGAAAUUUUUCAUUUCAUUACACAGUGGGACUUAAGUCGUGGUUAUAAUCAAGAUAAGAUUAAAUAAAUAAAUUGAUUUAAUAAUAUUUUUUUA
ensembl:lncRNA